rnacentral:rRNA from 2 species
AAAAUGACUCUCGGCAACGGAUAUCUCGGCUCUCGCAUCGAUGAAGAACGUAGCGAAAUGCGAUACUUGGUGUGAAUUGCAGAAUCCCGUGAACCAUCGAGUCUUUGAACGCAAGUUGCGCCCAAAGCCUUUUGGUUGAGGGCACGUCUGCCUGGGU